UCCCAACCCACUGAGCCACAGUGGGAACUCCAAGAACACUGUUUAUGAUUCAAGUGCUGGAAAGGUGUCCUAUGGCUCAAUGAGUUAAAAUUCUUAGAACUCUUAGGACAUGGUUGUUACAACCAUGUAGGGUUAAGUCAGAACAACUUUAUUAAAGGAGAAUCAUGCAUGUGUGAGAAGGAACAAGUCCUUGGAAGAGCAGUUAAAAACCAGAGUUCCAGAGUUCCCGUCAUGGUUCAGUGGUUAACGAAUCCAACUAGGAACCAUGAGGUUGCAGGUUUGAUCCCUGGCCUUGCUCAGUGGGUUAAGGAUCCGGCGCCGCCGUGAGCUGUGGUGUAGGUUGCAGACGCAGCUCCGAUCCCGAGUUGCUGUGGCUCUGGUGUAGGUCAGUGGUGAUGGCUCCCAUUCGACCCCUAGCCUGGGAACCUCCAUAUGCCUCGGGAGCAGCCCAAGAAAUGGCAAAAAGACAAAAACAAAACAAAACAAAAACUGAGUUCCCUGGUGGCUCAGCAGAUUAAAUGAUCUAUCAUUGUCAUUGCUGUGGUGCAGGUUUGAUCCUUGGCCUGGGAACUUCUGCAUGCAAUGGGCAUAGCCAAAACAAUACCAACAAAAACAAAAACAGAGCUGCUAACUAGACUUGGCACUUUCAAGAUUUUUUAAUCUUGAGUUUUAAAAUGUUGACAGCAGACCCCUUAAUGAGUAACUUGUACCCAAACCCUAAUGAUCCUUAAUGGUUUACUUUUCUCUGUCUUGCCACCUCAGAGUUCUCUCCUUGCUUGUCCAGCUGCAGGGAAGAUACUUUACCUGCUGUCUCUGCAGAAGAUGAUGCAAAAGAGAACCCAAGGACAUUUUCAGUGGAAGAUAAUGCACAGAAGGUGUACAAUACCACUGGUUGUCAAAGAAGCGAAGCCGGGGUCCCUUCUAGUGGGUGGUAGGUAAGAAUUACUAAUCCAAUCUGCUUGAGUUAACUCAAAACAAGGAUUAGUGUAAAGUUCCAGAAUAUGUUAAUCUUCCUUUAUAGAAGUAAACUUCAGCUCUGCCACCAACCCCAUGGUUUAUAGUUCCUGGGAACAAUGAGCCAAUUAAACUUGAGAGGGA
rnacentral:lncRNA from 1 species